UACGUAGGGGGCAAGCGUUAUCCGGAAUUACUGGGUGUAAAGGGAGAGUAGGCGGCAAGGUAAGCGAUAUGUGAAAGCCUUAGGCUUAACCAAAGGAUUGCAUAACGAACUAUCUAGCUAGAGUACAGGAGAGGAAAGCGGAAUUCCUAGUGUAGCGGUGAAAUGCGUAGAUAUUAGGAAGAACACCAGUGGCGAAGGCGGCUUUCUGGACUGAAACUGAUGCUGAGGCUCGAAAGCGUGGGGAGCGAACAGG
rnacentral:rRNA from 1 species